rnacentral:rRNA from 1 species
GACGAACGCUGGCGGCGUGCUUAACACAUGCAAGUCGAACGGAAAGGCCCUGCUUUUGUGGGGUGCUCGAGUGGCGAACGGGUGAGUGACACGUGAGUAACCUGCCCUUGACUUUGGGAUAACUUCAGGAAACUGGGGCUAAUACCGGAUAGGAGCUCCUGCUGCAUGGUGGGGGUUGGAAAGUUUCGGCGGUUGGGGAUGGACUCGCGGCUUAUCAGCUUGUUGGUGGGGUAGUGGCUUACCAAGGCUUUGACGGGUAGCCCGCCUGAGAGGGUGACCGGCCACAUUGGGACUGAGAGACGGCCCAGACUCCUACGGGAGGCAGCAGUGGGGAAUAUUGCGCAAUGGGCGGAAGCCUGAUGCAGCAACGCCGCGUGCGGGAUGACGGCCUUCGGGUUGUAAACCGCUUUCGCCUGUGACGAAGUGUGAGUGACGGUAAUGGGUAAAGAAGCACCGGCUAACUACGUG